AGCGAACGCUGGCGGCAGGCCUAACACAUGCAAGUCGAACGAACUCUUCGGAGUUAGUGGCGGACGGGUGAGUAACACGUGGGAACGUGCCUUUAGGUUCGGAAUAACUCAGGGAAACUUGUGCUAAUACCAAAUGUGCCCUUCGGGGGAAAGAUUUAUCGCCUUUAGAGCGGCCCGCGUCUGAUUAGCUAGUUGGUGGGGUGAUGGCCCACCAAGGCUACGAUCAGUAGCUGGUCUGAGAGGAUGACCAGCCACAUUGGGACUGAGACACGGCCCAAACUCCUACGGGAGGCAGCAGUGGGGAAUCUUGCGCAAUGGGCGAAAGCCUGACGCAGCCAUGCCGCGCGGAUGAUGAAGGUCUUAGGAUUGUAAAAUCCUUUCACCGGUGAAGAUAAUGACUGUAGCCGGAGAAGAAGCCCCGGCUAACUUCGUGCCAGCCGCCGCCGUAAGAC
rnacentral:rRNA from 1 species